rnacentral:rRNA from 1 species
GCCCAGACUCCUACGGGAGGCAGCAGUAGGGAAUUUUGCGCAAUGGGCGAAAGCCUGACGCAGCAACGCCGCGUGAUCGAGACGCCCUUCGGGGUGUAAAGAUCUGUCAGUGGGGACGAAACUUGACGGUACCCACAGAGGAAGCACCGGCUAACUCCGUGCCAGCAGCCGCGGUAAUACGGGGGGUGCAAGCGUUGUCCGGAUUUACUGGGUGUAAAGGGAGCGUAGACGGCAGUGCAAGUCUGGAGUGAAAGGCGGGGGCUCAACCCCCGGACUGCUCUGGAAACUGUACGGCUGGAGUGCAGGAGAGGUAAGUGGAAUUCCUAGUGUAGCGGUGAAAUGCGUAGAUAUUAGGAGGAACACCAGUGGCGAAGGCGGCUUACUGGACUGUAACUGACGUUGAGGCUCGAAAGCGUGGGGAGCAAACAGGAUUAGAUACCCCAGUAA